GGGCCUCUGGCGCAACGGUAGCGCGUUGUAAGUUACACUUCACCAAGCAAUAGCUUGUGAACUUCUUCUAACAAAUUCACAGCGACUCCAGAUCGAAAGGUUAUCCGUUCAAAUCGGGUGGGGCUCA